CAAGAACUACCCACAAACGCUUUAUGUGCUUUCUCAAAAAAUAAAUGAAAAUUCUUUGCUUUUAUAACCACAUAAAAUGUCAUUUUUGUAGUGGAAAUGUUUCAACUUUCAGACUUCACAAACACUCUAAGCAAUUUUAAUAUUUAAACAUUGGCAAAACUGUGUUCCUUUUGAGUUGGAAAUGCAACACAGGCAGUAGGAUGUUGCAAUAAUGACCUGGAAUUACGCUGUCAAAGAAACUUUGUACAACACAGUGGAUAUGUUUAGCAGGGCCAGCUUAAAAUUAAUUCUUUUUUUUCCUAUUGAAUUCCAUUAU
rnacentral:lncRNA from 1 species